rnacentral:rRNA from 1 species
UACGGAGGGUGCAAACGUUGCUCGGAAUCAUUGGGCGUAAAGCGCACGUAGGCGGACUGUUAAGUCGGAUGUGAAAGCCCUCGGCUUAACCGAGGAAGUGCAUUCGAAACUGGCAGUCUUGAGUACAGAAGAGGGUCGCGGAAUUCCCGGUGUAGAGGUGAAAUUCGUAGAUAUCGGGAGGAACACCAGUGGCGAAGGCGGCGACCUGGGCCAAUACUGACGCUGAGGUGCGAAAGCUAGGGGAGCAAACGGG